CCUUUAACCGACUGAAAAAAAUGGAGAGGAAUACACAAAAAAUGAGGAGUGGUGCCUCUAAUCCAUGCCAGAGGAUAACCCAUGAAGAUCUUUGCAAUUUGCUGAAGAGACUUCAGAAACUGAUGAAUAGACUUGGAUAUGGAUCAUCUAGAAAGAGACCCAGAGAGCAGCCUGCUAUUGCCUCUCUGUCUUCUCAAAGAGGAAUGUUCAAUGUACAAACAAAUUAUGAACAAAACACAGUUCCUGUUUUUAAUACCUAUGAAGAAUACCAUAAGACGGUUCUUCAGUCAUUUGAAAAUAUUUCAAUUGUACUGAACAUAGAAGGAAAAGUUGUUUUUGUAUCCCAGAAUGUGACACCUCUUCUUGGCUAUCUUCCAGAAGAUAUAAUUGGGACGAGCCUAUUAAAUCUUGUUCAUGAUGAACAAAAGGAUGACAUAUCUGAGAAGAUCAUUCUAAAUCUUCCAUUGGCAAAUAUAGUGGGAAGCCUAAUCGAAUUUUGCUGUUAUAUAAGAAAAGGAAAUGUAGGUCAGAGUGGCCAGGACACAUAUUGUUACAGGACCAUGUACCAAGGGAGACAUAUAUAUGAGUACGUGAAAUUCAUCUUGUACCUACAGGAUUCUUAUGAUGAGUCAUUUGUAUUUUUUGGAAACUUCGGUCCUAAUAGCAGAAAGAUUUGGUCUUCUGCUCCAAGGCUGUUAUGGGAGGAAAAGUACUAUGUUGUGGGAAACAUUUCUGUUCUACGUACGCCGGAUGAGACAGCACAACCAGUUAACAUUCAAACAAAUGCUGUAGAUGAUGAUUCUGAUGAUGACAGUACUUUACAACACCAUAGGCUUCGAAAACGCCACCGUAGGAACAAAAUGCAAACAGAUGCUCAGGCUGAAGCUGUGAAUGUGGAGGAGUGUCCUGAAGCAGGCACAGAAGUUGAGAUUGUAGAAGUUCAAGCAGCCACUCAGCGAAUGCCAUUUGACUUAAUUCAGGUCCGGACACCCUCUCACUCAAGCAUAAACCCAGAAUUAAGUGCAGCUACAAGCAUAAGCACUGGCAUGAGGACAAGCACAAGUUCUUCAUCUACAAAUAUUUCAUCAACAACACCAGUAUCAACAUAGGGAACAAGAACAAUGUGAAUAUGAAUUCUCCCAGUGUACUGGAAUGCUUCGAAACUUAAAAUAUGAAUGGCCUGGGCAGCAACAUACUGGGCAAGGACAAGGACCUCGUGGAUAUCAUAGAGGAGAACAGGUGGUGACUGUUAUAGAUGACGUGGGGUCACCCACCAUGGAAUUUUUUGGAAAUGACAAUUCUCAGCAUUCACGAAAUGAGACACAUAGAUGUUGGGAGGAUCCUAUUGAUUGUGCCCCUCCACCUCUGCAUCAUUCAUCAAGAUCAUUCCAAGAAAUGACUGGAUUACAUCAAACAUUGGCAGCCUCAUUUCAACCAUCAUUACUGUCAUGUCAAGCAUCAUUAGUGUCAUGUCCAGCAUCUUUACCAUCAUGUUCAGCAUCUGCACCAUCAUGUAUAGUACCUGUACCGAUACAUAAAGAAUCUGUACCAAUAUGUCAAGUUUCUGCACCAAUAAGUGUAGCAUAUGCACCAUUAAUCCAAGUGUAUGCAUCAAAAUGUCAACCAUCUGCACAGUUAUGUCAAGCAUUGGCAGCUUCACGUCAGGCAUCUGGAAUGUUAUGUCAAACAUCUGUAGUGACACAUCAAGUAUCUGCACCUCGAUGUCAAUCAUUGGCAGUGUCACAUCAAGCAUCUGCACCAUCACGUCAAGCAUCAGUGGUGUCACAACAAGUAUUGGCAGAAUCAUAUCACCAAUCAGCAAUGUCACCUCAUGUUUCUUUUGACCACCGAAGAGAGAAAAUUCCACGCUUUCUGCCCCCUGGACAAGAUCACUCUGGUUCCAUUCAGGCUGAAUAGGACACUAAUCCUCACCCAUGAGCAGAAGAUGAGGCUGAAGACAGACCUCCACUGUCUGCAUGGCAAAGGGCCAUACAAAAUGGGAGAGUCCCUUGAUGGGAGAGGGUGGGUGGGUCAUACUGCUUUACUUGCAAAUUAAGUUUGUAGUUAUUCUUAAGCAUAGUCAGUUUAUUGUAAAUAUUGCUGCAGAAGUUGACUGUUAAAUCCUACUUGGUGGGUGAUAACAGGUGAUCCCUGGCCCCUGCUUUUUUAACACCACUUUGUGUAUAUUUAUAUCCAGAUGUGCUUUUGUUGUGGCAUGAGCAGUGUGUCAGGGUCCUACAUAUUUUUCUUGAUGAAAUUUAAAAUACCAUAGAAUUGCAAGACAGGGGGGAAACCUGUUCUAUCAUGUAGUUUUCCCAAAUUCUGAGGCCUUGUUUAUUUUUUUUUUAUUUCUAUCUCUUUUCUGUAGCCCGGUGCUAUUUGAUAUCCUAUGUUAAAUGGUUACCCAAUUGUGAGCAAGUAAUAUCUGUUCAAAAUAGUAUACAUAUUUACUUAAUAAACACUAUGUUCAACUACAAGUCUU